rnacentral:tRNA from 1 species
GCCGAGGUUGCCGAGUGGACUAAGGCGCCGGCCUUGAGAGCCGGUGUCCCGUGAGGGACGCAAGGGUUCAAAUCCCUUCCUCGGCG